CAUCCCAUAAAUACUAUAGAUCUAUAUACAUAUAUUUAAAACGAAGUCAGAAGUGUAAAAUGAGACCGUCAAGUAAAUGUGUC